CUUCAGUUAAACUCUUUUACAAUUCAAAUAAACGGUAAAAAGAGCAUAACAUUAAAAGAAAAUUUGUUGCGAUCGGUGGCACGGUGCCUAUACCACGUGACUUUUUAAGAUCUGUGUGGGGAUUAACAAAAGCAUGACAAAGAUAUGGCUCAAUGCUCCGAACGCGGAAAAAUGUUGAAGACCAGAGCUGGAUUAUUGCGCCACAUUAGGAGACACGCUAACUCUGGACACUAUUACUGCCGUAGGAAAGCAUUUCAGGAUGCCUACAAUCUUAGAAGGCGUUAAAGAACGAAGGACCCAAAUGUCACGUUUGUGUACAGUGCGGCAGGAGCUUUGCGUACAAGUGCCUACUCGUGGCUCGAGAGAAAAGUGCAAACAAGAGGGAUUGGUGAAAUGUUACCAGUGUGGGUUGGCAGUUACCAGUGAGAAUGACCUCAAAGAGCACGACAAGACCCACAUGCCUGACAAGUGUUACAGUUGUGAGGAGUGUUUCAAACCGUACAAACGCAAAACAAACCUUUCUCGACACGUGAGGACUUUACAUAAAUCCGUGAAUACUGAUUAAAAAUCAUAAUAGUUUACAGCUUGUCUGUGUAACUUGAUUAUCGUUUUACGUCAUUGUCCCCUAACGGUGAAAAGUUCUUCAUAUUUUUUCAUGAAACUUGAAACAUGGCAAUAUGGAGAUUAUGCACCUCAUUUCAUUUUGUUCCUAUGUCAAAAAGUCUGGUUGCUAUGGCAACAAAUAUAAAAAAUUCUGACAAUGGUGGAGUUUCACCGGUAGGGGACCAUAUUGCUUGAAAUAGCCUUGUUUUAUUUGUUGAUUUAUGUUAACGUUACUUUUCAAAAUGAUUCUUAAGUUAUCCGAAUUUGAUUAGUUUGUAUGUUUCGUUUAGUUCGUUUGUGUGUUUCUUUUGAAAUCAUUCUCAAAUAAUUGUGCAAUAAUUUGGAUUUACGUUAUUCAUUAAUAUAUCGCAUCUGUGAUUUGUAUUAUCGAAUCUGUGAUUCUUUUUUAAUUAUAACUUGAUUAAAGUUUUGCGAUAUUUGUUCGUUGAUUUCAAUUUUAAAUACCGCUGUCACGAGCUAGUUCGAUAAUCAUAAGCAGCCAGGGUUUCUAGUAGAAGUGAUUUUCACGAUUGCUUUACCUAAUUAACUGCCUGCUUAUACUUAUUCUAGGCCGUGGUAAUUGACAGUAAACAAUGUAUGCAAUGAGGUUGUGUUUACAAUACAAUACUCCUUAAUUCGAAAUACGUCAUUACAUUCUUCACAGCUGCAUCCCACCACAACACAAGAGGAGAAUCGUACAUACAUAAUCAUUUAAUAUAAUAGUUCUUCAUUUACUUUUUAUAUUCUCUUCAAAAUAAUUAAUGCUAAAAUUAAGCAUACACUGUUACACUGAAUACAACGACAUGCUUUAUAACAUGACAUUAUCACCAAACACAUGGCGAAUGAUUGUCAAUAUCUAUACUAUGUAAUAAACUAAUGCAACAAUAUGAAUUCCAUAUAAUUUAUGAAAAUAGCACACACAAACACACCCAUAUAUGUAUGUUUCUACUAUGAUCAUUAUUUUGUUUUUAGUAAAUCAUACCGGUUACAUGUUCGAAAAUGUAACAAUUUUUAGUCAUUUAAAGUUUCUUCACAAUGAUGCAAGG